rnacentral:rRNA from 1 species
GACGAACGACACGAACGUUAUUCGGAAUUACUGGGCUUAAAGGGUGCGUAGGCGGCGCGGUAAGUAGGGUGUGAAAUCCCUCGGCUCAACCGAGGAACUGCGCUCUAAACUACCGUGCUUGAGGGAGGUAGAGGUGAGCGGAACUUAGGGUGGAGCGGUGAAAUGCGUUGAUAUCCGAAGGAACACCGGUGGCGAAAGCGGCUCACUGGAUCUCUUCUGACGCUGAGGCACGAAAGCUAGGGUAGCGAACGGG